GGCGAAAUGUGCAUAAACAUUUACCUCAACUCUUCUAUCGUACAGCACCCUGAAUGAUUGAAAGAUACAACCAAAGUUCUCGUGUUUGAACAAGUUUUGUUUUGAGCUAUAUCAUGGCUGCUUGUGAAGUAUUAUUUGCGUGUUUUAUUUAAAUCAGUGAUCUGUAGCCUAAUUAAAUUUUAAAUUAUUGAAGCACGCAUUUUUAAAUAAGUAAAACGUAAAAUAAAAGUUUUCUAAAGCCAAAAUAUGGAAUUGAAGAGGGUGAUACAGUAAUACUUCAUUGCACUGCCAAUUCGAAGCACGCAAUAGAAGCUACGCCAACAAUGGUCAACAUCAAGGGCGAAACCAUUGAAUACAUAUUUCAAACCUCAUACGGCGCAUUAAAGGUACGCAACCUAAUUGGUGUCAUUUAUGGUAGCAGCGUAGAACUUUCGAAUCGAUGGAAUAUGUGCUGCAAGCAAAUCCAGAACUAUGGUUACAAACGCUGCUACAUCGAACACAAAUCAUUUACACACCAGAUAUUAGGUUUAAUGUCAAUUUUUUACGUGCAAUUAAACCUUUUGCUCAACACAAGCCCGGGAAGUACUGAAACGACAUGGUUUAGGUGCUUUUGUAACCGUUUAUCAUCGCGACGUGUGUAAACUGGGUUUUGCCAAUGGGUUAUAGGGCAAAGCUUUUGCAGUAUUUUUAGAAUUACCGGCCCCUCAGUUGGCCGUGCCAUUAGCAGCUAAAACUCAGAAAUUAAAGGGUACAUUUAAGUGAAUGUUUGUGAUCAUCGAAAUUUAAAAACUUCUUGUAUGUAUUGAGCAAUCAUAACGUUGUUGUAUCGCUUUACAAGGACAUGGAUUCACCGAAAUUAGUUCAUUGGAAAUACUACAGCAAGAGCAUGGACAUAAGAAAUUGGAUGAAUCUAGUACCAGUGAAAUUAAUGAAAGAACAGAUCUUCCAAAUCUCCUAUAGAAACCAAAAGGGUCCUCACAUAAUCUGCGCAGCUUACACUUCCAGGCCGCUCGGGGUAUUUGACAUUUGCCACUCUUCCUCCAGCCUUUAUCAGAUAGCAAAAAUUGUUCAACUAUUCAAUACGUUUUACAUAUGUAUAUAGUGUAGUACGAUAAUACAUUUAUAAAGUAAAUAAACACCGA